GGAGGGAGGGUACGCAGCGGACAUCUGGGCGGGGUAGCGUCCGCUUGUAACCCAAUCGCGGGGGAAGGAGGGUGAGGAUGUGGGGCGCCGGGUAAGGGCCUGCGGAGGCGUGUGGAGGGCCUGCCCACUCCAAGCACGGAGUCGCUAGUGGGAUCUCGCCGGAGGGUGGGGUUGCGCGGGCGAUAGUGAGGGGGGCACCGCGUCAGGCGGGCAACCGAGCAGCGUUCACUCCCCGCUCUGUGUAGUGGAGGGAUAACGGGUCUGAAUGUUCUGCGCAGAUCACCCUGUCCGGCAUGCAUCCACAUACCAUCUUCCGUUUUGUCACCCUUUCAUCCUGAUUAUGUUUGACAAGUGGACAAGAAUAAUAAUUCCUUUUUCUUUUCUUUUUAAGUUUCAUAUUAUUUUGCGGACUAUCCACCUAUAAACUAUCAUUUUUUUUUUCUUCCAACAUUAAUGCUUUCUUUCAAAAAGAGAGUGGAUUGCUCUCAUCUUUGAAAAAUAAUUCAUUUGAUACACAAGCUUGCAAAUUAUCCUUCUCUUAUUUAACUUCUAGAUAUAUUAAAUUAAUUUAUUAUAUAAAUAAAAUAAAUAGUUAUGAAUGCUAAACUUUGUGGAAGUGAGAAUAUAUUUGCAACUAUUACAAAUUUUUAUAGACUUGUCAACAUUCUUUGGAUGAAAAUUUCACAUAUUAUCAACCUUAAUUAUAGAAGUACUAUUUCUACACCUAUGGAAGAAGUUAACAAUAAAGUCCAAUGUCUACACUAUGAAUUUGUGUAGUUUAGAGAAACAUAAAUGUUAAUGUGUCUUCUAAUAGAACUAUUCCAAAAGGCAAGUCAGAUGCCAAUGCACCACAAUCAAAUAAGGUUUUUCUUGACAUACUCAUAGCAGUUGCUACAAAUGUGAUUGAAAUGAAUUCUUUCCUUCCAUCACUAGUAGGCCAUCUUGGUCAAAUCCAUACUUCUUCAGUCCAAUUAUUUGGACCAAAACCAAAUAGAUAAUGGGCUUGUUGAUCCACUAAAAUAUUAUAGUUGGUGACAUUAGUCACUGCAUACUUUAGAAACAAGUGUGAAUAAAGUGGACUAGAUCCAAUGCAAAAUAUUAAUUGCAAAGGUUGCUUGGUAUAGCCGGUAGCUUGCUCCAUGCUCCCUACUAAAGUGACAAUGGUAAAAGGACAAGGUUCCAAGUCUAUGGGAGUGAGACCUUGCUUUGUAUGGUAGAGGGAUAACAGGCUUGAAUGUUCUAUGCAAAUCACCCUACCUGGCAUGCAUCCACAUACCAUCUUUUCUUUUGACACAAAUAAAGUGAAGAUUGUCAAAGAGAAAUAAAGUAAUGCAACAAUUGGCUACAAAUUCUAAUAAAUUUUUUUUAAAAAAUAUAUAUAUAUAUAUAUAUAUAUAUAUAACUAAAAAAUUAUUUGAAGUACAUUAGAAGAAAGAAGAAUUGAAACCAACUAAAUAUUUGAUUAGCAAGUAACUUCCAAUUGGCUACUUUUAGUGAUGUGUUGAUUUUUUAAAACGUUCUUAAAGAAAUAAAAGCUUUAGAUGUAGAAGUAGAUGUUCAUGUCAAAAUAUUCCUUUAAUCUCAUCAUGUAAUUAUUAUCUUUUUUCUAAACUUAAAAUAUUCUCUUUAUGAUUAUCAUAAUUAAAUAGUAUAAGUAGGAAUAAAAAACUAAUGGUCGCUUAAAUAAAUAACUAUAUAUUCAGAGCAUGUGCUUUUAUUCUAAAAAUAAUUUAAAAUCAUAGAAUUAGGUACAUUUUGCUUUUAUGUAUGUUUUAUUUGUGAAAUUUAAAAUUUGAUCUUGAAUAAUGUGGUAAUUAAAUAUUCUUACAACCAAAUGUUUUAGCCUAAAAAAUUAAAAUUUGAAAAAAGACAAAAUAAUAGUUUGUGAGAAUAGAAACUUAAAAAUAAAAAUCAAUGUUUAAAAAAUAAUGAAAAAAAUUUAAUACGAAGAAAUUUUGCUACAAAUAAUUUUUAUUUACAUGUAGGCAUGUUUGGUGAAAUCUAUUCAUAUACUUAAGAAAAUGGUAAGUAAUUUCUUAUUGGCUAGUACAUCAAAAUUGAUAAGCUCUAAACUAAUCCAUAGCAUAUGUUGCAAAGUAAAUAAGAAAUGUAGUCUUGAUUUAAUUUACUUAGAAGAAGCUCUAAAAACUUUGUUAUUAAAUUAAACAAUCAAAAAAAAUUAAUAUAAAAAAUAAUAUUUUAUAUUUUUUUAUCACACAAAACAUAACUAAAGUUUCAAUAAAAAGCUAUUAUAGCUAGUAGUUUAAUUUAUCUUUGAUUUGUGCCUCAAAUCUUUUUUUAAAUUUAAAAACUAGAAAAAGAAUUAAAAAGGCCUAGGCUAAAAUGAUAAUUUAUUAAAAGUUAGAAUUGCCGAAUUAAUUUUAAAAUAUGAAAACUAAUCAUGGUAAAAGAAUUUAGUUUGAACCAUUUUACAUCUAGACAUCUUAACAUCUAGUUUUAAAGUGUAGCUGAAAUACUAUAAAUAUAAAAUGCAAAGAACUAAGGAUUUUUUUAGAUUCCAUACACAAUACAAUUUUACAACAAUGGAAGCUAAAAUAGAAUAAAGUCUUUAAAUAAAAAAUUAUUAAUCAUGAUAAUAUAUCAUAUUCACUUAUUCAAAACUCUUACUAUUCUCUCAUCCAAACAUAUAGCACCUUGGUAAAAAAACUCUUUGCAUUUGCUUGCUAAAGUACACAUCUUGAAUUCAUAACAAGAAGUCUUUAUAAGACCCUUAGACUAUGCUGCACAAUUUUGUGAGCUGCAUGCCGUUCAUUUUGCAAACUCUUCUAAAGUGCACAAAAAUUGUUUUGUCAUUGCAGCAAAGAAACUAAGUUUGUUUUACUACAACAAUACCCCAAAUUAGAAUUAUAAUUGGUGGCUAAACUCUUCUAUCAAUAGUAUGUAGUAUUCUACAUUGUUGUAUUAAUGGACAACAACAUUAGACUGCAGUACUAAUAUAGGUGAAAAAAUAUUAAAAUCUAUUUUAAACACUAAAUUAAUAUGUUAUGUACUAACAUAGAAAUAUGUGUAAAAAAGAAAGAUCAAUUAUUGCAAGUUAUAUUCUAAAUAUAAAAUACCAUCUAAGAAAUUUUAAGAAAAUAAAUAAUUUUAUAUAUCUAGAUCAUUAAAAAUAUUAAUAUAUAGAAUCAAUGCCUAAUCAUAUGAUUUUUAUAUGAACAAAAACUUAACAAAAUUUUCAUCACAUAGUUGGAUUAACUUUAUGAAGAAAAAGAAUAAAGAAUCAAUUAGAAUAAUUAAUAAAUUUAAAAUGGUUAAUACUAUUUACUUAUGAAAUCAUAAAAAAUAAUAAGCUCAAAACAUUCUAUAGUCUAAGGGCUAAUCUAUAGUUCAAUUCUGAAAAAAUCCAUGUUUAAAUAACUAAAAUAUAAUGGAAAAGCAUGAAUUAAUGCUUAAUAAGAGCAAAUCAAUUAUGAUAUUUUGUAUUGCUCAUUAUGUACUUUUUCCUAAGAUUAAAAAAAUUGUUACAUGUUGUAGGAAUACAUGCAUGCAUGUAAAGCAUAAAAUUAGAUUAUAUUGUUUAUUUUAUUAUAUAUAUAUAUAUAUAUAUAUAUAUAAUAACUGCUUAAAAGGAUUAAAUCUUAGAAGACUCUUUUAUGGAAACAAGUGAGUUUUUUCUACUAAAUGUCAAUUAAGAUCUAAACUUUUUAAAUAGUUCUGAAAUUUAAUCUAUAGAGAUAUGCUUAAAGAUUAGAUGGGUACAAAAAACAUCGUAUUUAUUGAAGAAGAGAUAUUCAAUAGCCUUCAAUUAAUUUGAGACAAGAUCUCUAAAAUAGAUGUAUUAUAUACAUUGUUAACAAUAAAGAUGACAUUAUCUUUUCUAUAUAUAUAUAUAUAUAAAAUGCAUAUACGACACAACUUCUUGCAUGUAGUUCUUUAAAGGAGGUGAUACAAAACCAGUCAUGUAUUAUCAACUUUUACAAUAUACAUAUGUUGAAAGUCUACAAUUGACUAAAAUUUUAAAACAAACAUAUUCACCAUCUUAUUAUGUGUUUUCUUAACCUCUAUUUAUGUAAUUAUAGAGUUCAUUAAAAAAAAAAAAGUUAUAAUAAUAAAAAUUUCAAUGUUAUAUUCCAAAUUGUGAGUUUGAUAAUACAGUUUAUAUUAUUGAUACAAACAUCCAAACAUGACGAGCCUUACAUUCAUUCAAGAAUUUAGUAUUAUUUUCUUUCAAAAAACUAAUUUCCAACCACUACAUCUAUGUAUUAAAUAAUAAGUUUGAUUUCAUCAAAAAAUUGUCAAUAUUGAUCAAUCAACAAAACAUGUAUAUGAAAGCACAUAACAAAAAAAAUUUGUAUUUCAUUUGGAUGUGAUUUGAAUAAAUUUACAGAUAGCAAUCAAUAAUAUAAAAUAUAUUGUACUUUAAAAAUUAAAAAAUAUUAAAACAAUUGAUUAUUAAUACAUUAUUGUUAAUAAAGAUGUGAUGAUAGAUGCUCCAUCAUGCAUUAUGUAUUUAUAAAAAGAUAUAUAUCAUCAAAUCAAUUAAAACUUUUGUAAGUAAAUUUAGAAUUUUUACUACAAUAAAUUACAAAAAAUCAUAAUUUUUUUCUUUUCUUAUUGUAAGCUAAAAUAAACCUCCACAAAUUGAAAGUUUAUUCUAGUUCACAACAAGUAAAUUAAAUAUGGUAAUCUUAGGACUUUUAGUUUUUAUGUAAAUCUGAAUCAAAUCACUCUUAAACUCUUAAAAUCACUCAAGUGUGAGGUAAAAUAAACCUCCAUUCAUUGGAAGUUUAUCCAAACCUACAACAAGUGAAUUUACUAUGUAAAUGUGAUAAGUUGUAGCUUUUAUUUAAUCUAAUUUAAUUCACUUUUUAACACUCCUUAAAUCACACAAAUAAUCAAGCAAAAUCUCUACUACUAACUCACACUUAUAAUAAUAAGGCACUCCAACAUUCUAUAUAAUUUAAAAAUUAUUAAUAUUAGUAUUUUUAUUUUUAUUUUUUUAAUUUUUUACUUUAAAAAAAAAUCAUUUUUAUUUUAUUUUAUUUUAUUUUAUUUUAAUUUUGAAUUCACAUUCAUCCAUCAAUAAGAAUUUAUCUUUAAAUAAUAAUUCAUCCAUCAAUAAGAAUUUAUCUUUGAAUAAUAAUUCAUCCAAGUAUAAAAAUUUAUCUAUACAAUUUUCAUCCAUUUUUCAUUUUAUUUUUAUUCAACUUCAAUUAUUCAUCCAAACUAGCCUAAUUCAAUCUUAAUCCUAUUUCAUCCAAAUCUACCUAAUUAGCUAGUGUGAACACAUUUGCUAGAAAUCUCAUCAAGUUGGAAGAUUUGGUGUUGCCUUGUUGCGAGUUGAACUUAGAUCCAAUCCUACUACCAAGAUGAUCAGACUUUACACCUCCAUGUUGUAAGGCACUUCAAAGAAAGGAAUGCAAAUGAUGUGGAUUGUCGCCUCGAUGUUGUAAUAGAUCAAGGACACAAUUGAACAUACAACUUAGACUGUGGAGGUUUGCCACCACUUAAUGUAAGAAUCAAGGCUAAGCAAUAAUUUUUUUAAUUUUUAAUUUUUUACGGAAUGCUUAUGUGCUUGUAGUGUUGGCUAGAUUCUAUUUUAUCUAUACCAUCUUCCAAUAUUAAUCGCCACUCACUAUUAUUUACAACAAGUCUUAUUGACUCUAGCUCUAAUGUGCAUGUAUUAGCUCAAUUGUUGAAGUCAACAUAGAGGUUGUUUUGUAGUUCAAAACUACAAUAUCAAGAACAUACUAUAAGCUAAGAUGGUAUUUAGUUUAUACUUAGCUCCCUUGAUUCAACUCAUAAAUUUGAAAGAAGUAAGCUUCUUAAUCUUAGCCUUGAUUUACCUAGGAGAUUACUUAGGAGUUCUUGAGUUCACAGAGGCAGCGUCUCAUACUUUUUAGUUGUUAUAUGCCUUACCGCUUGUCUUUAUUUAGCGCUUAGCCAUGUAGCACUAUUGAAGAAUAAGCAUUGACAUCUUCUUUGUUGUAAUGCUUCAACCUUCAAUACUAUCUCAUUGCAAUUAUUCACAAGGCUAUAACAAAACUAAGGAUACUAGGGUAAUACCAAGUUCAUCAAAGAAUGUGUGUCCAACCACCGUAGUCUUUACUAUUGAUCUUGGUAGUAUUGAUUGAUCAAAAAGGAAGGUCUAGCCUUGAAUUGGCCUUAAUACCAAGUUAAAUCUUUGGUAUUUGGCAUUGAUUUUUUUACACAAAGCGACACAUUGCCACCGAACCACAAAAAAAACAACAGAGGUGCAAGAACCUUAGUCACUAAUUGUAUGGAAGAAUACGUCAAAUCACUGUAAUGUAGCCCAAUAUCUAAGUUGUGAACCAUUGUUGAUGCAAGUUUUAGCCUUUACCAACUACCACUAAUACUAAUGCUUUGGAGUUUGGUGUGGUGUUUCUUUUACAACUAUAGAUGCAAAAUCUUGUUAGUUUCAUUGAAAAUAGUGGCAAUAUUUUUGUUAUUUUUGUGAUCAAUGUGGAGAUCAAAAUCAAUACGUAACUAUGGUGGUACUGUAGAGGAGUUCAAAGUAGCUAUUUUUAUUUUCCUCAACUUGUUGUGUGAGUUGUUAGUUUGAAGAUGAUUGCAAGAAUAUAGUCGAGCGGUGGAACACCAAUGGCUUGCGAUCAAUUGUGGUACAAUUUUUUCUUUUUUUUAAAGAGUACAACGGCAUUGUUCCAUGAUAUCUCUUCAUUUUGUUGCAUCUAGCUGUUAACUUGCUAGCAAUUAGGUAUAUUGAGAGAGUGGAAUUUACUCUUUAUCACAUUGUAGGAUAGAAGGACGUGAUAAUUGUAGUAGAUGUUAACAUGAGGGUUUUUUUUGUUGUGAAGAUCUUAACAUCCUAAACUACAUUAGUUGAAAGUAGAACUAGUUGCAAUUAAUGAUUAGAUAAACAACAAUGAUAACCUACAACCAUCUCGAUGCAUCAUCGAUGUGAUUCUAAAGUUUGGUCUCAUUUUGUUGCUUAAUUAAAAUAUCAACAACAAUAAAAUUAAAAUUCUUGGACCUUCUUUUAAUUUUAGAUAAUAUUAAAAGAAAAUAUUUUAUCUUAAAAGUCCAUCUUGAGAAAUUCUAACAUAGAUUGCAUAUCUACUACUAGUAGUAUAUUUUUCUUAUUUACUUAACAAAUUUACUAUUAACUCACAAUACAUGUGAUUUUAAGUACAAUAAGUGUAUUUUUUGUACUAAAUAUACAAUUGAGUCAAUUUGGUGACUCUUACUUGUCUAUCAUUAAGUAAAUUUAUACUUGUUGAAAUUAAAUCACUAAUAUGCAAAAUUGUUUUACAUGUGUUUUAGUAUAAAAGUAUUUUAUAAUGUGAAAUCUUAAAAUUACUCAUAAUCUACUUACUUUUGGAUAUAUGAUCAUAAAAGUGUCUAAAAUAGAUAUAAAUAAUCAAUUUAUUUGUAAAAAUUAAAAUACAAAGGCUUAUUAAUGGCUAGUUUAUUUAUUUAUUUAUUUAUUUUUCUCUGGUGGACACUAAGAAUCAAUUAGUGUAUGUUUUUUCUAUUGAUAUAAAGCAAGAAAUAAAGAAAGAAAUAGAAAAAUUAAAAUAUAUUAAAAAUAAGUAUUGAAUCUUCCUCGAUUGCUUUGUAUAUCUUUAUUAGAAAAAAGUUUUAAAAUAAUUCAUUGCAUUGCAAGAGUGAUGUUUCAAUCCUCAAACUUGUAAGUCAUAGGCCUACCACACUUUUGCUAUGUAAUUUUAAUAUUGAUACUUUAAUAAAAUUUGGAGUCUAUCUAUUGAAAAACAUUCUAUUGUUAAUAAAUAUAAGUUUUGAGUAUAUAUACCUCUCCAUAUAUAUAUAUAUAUAUAUAUAUAUAUAUAAAAUUAAAUAUAUAUAUUAAUAUAUAGAUGUAUUUAUGUAUAUGAAGUUCUUAAAAAUUGAUGAUUUUUAUAUAUUAUAAUAAACUAUUGUGUUCAAAAUAUACUUUUCUUGCAUACAUAUAUAGAACAAAUAAAUUAAGGAAUAACCUCUUGUAGAUAUCCAAAUAUUCACCUUCUUCAAUUGAUUUUUAACAUAGGCUCUUUAUAUGUAUUUUAAUUUUAGAAUGUAUAAUUAUUUUUUAUAAUAAUAAAAGUUUUUAUUAAAAUAGAAACUACUAAAUUCAUCAUAAAUUCCAUAUUAAUUAUUUUAAAUAAGAAUAUUUAUUAUAAUUUUUGAAUAAAAUUCAAUAAAAAAAAUAUAAUACUAAUUUUUGACUUAUUAAUUUAAAUAUAUAAUUAUUCUACUUUUAUAAAAAUAAUCUAUUAAUAAUUAUAUGUAAUAUUUCUUUUAUUUAAUUAAGAUAAGACAAUUUUAGCAAGAUAUUUGAUAAGUCUUGUUGUUCUAAGACAAUAUGUAACAUAAAGUACAAAUUUUGACAAACAGAUGCUCCAACAAUCUUAAUAAUAAUUUAAAGCACAUAUUAAUAUAAGAAACUCUAUAUAUUUUUGUGAUUAGUGAAAUAUAUGAAUAUAAUAGAAAUAAAUACUUGCACUAUAUUCCUAUAUCAAAGACAUGAUUUAUAAACAAUAAAAAUCUCAAUACAUACUUAUGUCAUCCAAAAGAAUAGAUAUUUACUCAAAAGUUAUAUAGUAUAAAAACUAAUAUGGCUAUUGCUAAAGAAAAGAAGAUUAGAUACUCUUAAAAUAAGACUAAAAAUAUGAAUAGCAUUGAUAAGACUUUAAAAAGGCUUUACACUUGCCUCCAUAUAUAUUAUCUAACUAGGAGCUACAUGGCAGUGUACUAAAAGACCUCCAAUACACGUUCAACUUGCAAAACAAAUAUCUAACUUGCAAGACAAGUUUCCUACAUGUACGCUGUCUUGUUGUAGUACGAGUAUACCAUGAAAAUAUAAAGAAAGGGGACUUUUAUUAAUAUUCACUUACCUCGAAUAUUGGAAGCAACGACCAAUUCCAGUGCCAAUAUUCAGGGGCCAGUUCAAAGACCCCGUCACAGUCGGUCAGGGCAUACUUACUAGUAACGAAAUGCUCCGUUCGAGUCCAAUAGUCGGAGUCAACAGAAUCGAAAGGACUAAAUCUAUGACUAAGCGAGCCUGACACGAAGGACCAAUUUGACCCAAUUACGGGAACAUCCAAGUCUUACUACGGGCUUCUUAGCCAAUAUGAGACCUAAAUUGGUCGGGCGACUCAAUGUGGUCCUGAUUAUGGGGGUUUCGAUUCUAUUUUAGGCUCUCUUGUUCUGUGUGCUGUUUCAGGGAAUGUUGUUUCCAGAAAAAAAACCUUUUAAAAGGCAAAAAAUGGAGGAGAAAGCUUUGAAGGCGGAGCCAAUUUCGGAUCUAAGACGGAAGAUUGAAGAAAUUCAGAGGCUAGGGUUUGAAAGAGGAGAGAAUUAAGGUUAAAGGGGAGGAUAGGUAAAGAAAUGAAAGGGAGAGAAUAAGAGUUUUUAAGGGUCCGAGAGCUAGCUUCAUGCUUCGGGGAGGAUAGAGGGGGGGGGGGGGAGAGAGAGAGGGGGAGAAAACUGAGAAUUGGGGUUUUUUUUUUUCUUCAUAGGGUUUUGGGAAGACUGAGGCAAUCGUUGCUAAAAUUCAGUGUUGUACUAGUGAAUCGAGGUUUUAAUGAAGUGGGUGUGAUUACUCUUGACUGUUUUGUGAAAUUGAAGUUACGUCUGUGAUUGAAGAAUUAAAAGGGUGUCUAUAGGAUUGAGUAUGCAGAGUGAAUGAAAAUUUUUCGGUUAAUCUAACAAGACAGUCAGUGGAUACAAAGUCGUGAGUAUAAAGCGAUAUCGGAGAUUAGCAGAUUGGGUUGUUCAGGGUUCUGUGUAGCAUCUAGAGACCUAUCGGCUGGGGCGAAAAGGAUUUUGGCGAGCAGUCAAAGGACAUCCGUAUAGAUUUAUGAUAUAUUCUUGUAAUUGUUUAUAUUCGAACAGUCAAAAACCGAUAGACUGCUUGAAUAUUAGCGAAUCUCCAUACUACCUUCUAUAGCCAAACGCCCGGCGCGUUCUCAAGCAGGAAAGCAUGUAAUACGACAAUGCCACAUGGCUAACUUGUACUACAAAUUGCCAACAUGUGUGAUGCAUAGCCAACAUAUUGGCUCAAUUCUUAACCUAUCAAUCAACUACAAACACGUAAAAUAUUUAAUCCAUGUCUAUGAAGCUUUUAAGAAGCUUCUCUAUAAGAUAUUAUCAAAUUUAUCUCCAUUUUUCUUCUACAUAAUACUUCUUAUCUAAGUAAUUAUAUGUGCCUAUGAUAGCUAAAUAUUUAAUAGCCUAUUAAUACUAAAUAUUUUUAUAAGUUUUUAUUGUAAAUUAUACAAAUCUUAAAAAUUAGAGCAUCAUAUGACAUUUUUAUGUUUUUGUGUCAUGCAAAUGUAAUUAAUUUCCAAACUCUUUGAAGGUCAAAAAAUCCUCCACUCAUUACAUCUAAAUAAUAAAUAUGUCAAACUUGUAAGAAAUUCACUAAAUAUGAGAUAAACAAUACUUUGUGAAUUUGUGGUUAUUAGACGGCUCCAAAGUUUUAAAUCACAUCAUUCACAUAUUGCAUGAUAGCAAGCAUGUGUGUCUUGUCAUUCCAACAUUUAAAAAUAUUUCUAAUUCUACUACAUAGUUAUAGUAGCAAUAGAUAAAUAGUAGAUAAUGUGGUUAUCACUUCCAAGGUUGAAUUUGAGAUCAUGAAUAUUAAUAAAUUGUCAAAAUACCAACCUCAUAAUUGUAUGGUUAGUCUUGAAGGAGGUCAACUAUCUCUUGGACCAAUCUACUACUUGUUACAUUCCAACUUCUAAUAUUUUUUUAUAAUAUACUAACAAAAGUUUUAGGUGGAUACCUCCCUUCUAUUGCUUGGACACCCACAUGUGCGAUGUUUUCCAGCAUACACACAAUAAUAUCAUUGUCAUAUUAUCAUUAUAUAUUUUAUAACCUAUAACCCCUAAAAUGGUCCAAACAGUUCAAACUAGGUGGGGUAUGAAACAUGCAUAUGUACACUUUUAAAGCAAAAAAUAUCAAAAAAGCAUAUUGGUCAAAAGUUAUUUUUUUAAUUGUUGUGUUGUAUUACAUAUUAAAUUAUAUUUGAUUUUUUUUUUAUAGUACAUAUUAUUAAAAUUUAUAGAUUUAGGAAUUAUAGGCCAUAAAAUGUAAAAUAAUCAUACUAAUGCAUGAAUGAAAGGAUAUUCGGCACAUUGGAGGGAGAGGUGUCCACAUAAUAAAAGGAGGUGUCUACCUGGCAAGUCUCUAAACCAACACACCACAAUCUUUAAAACUAAAAAAUAAUUUAAAAAAUAAUAUAAAUAUAUUUUUAAAGUCUAUAAGUAAAGGAAAUUGUAUAAGCAAGUAAUUCUAGCUUGGUGGUGGAUAGUCUAAGGCUGGAAUUUUAAAUUCGUUCAAUAUUGUAAACUUCAUUUUUAUUCAAGAUAGUAUAUUCUUCAUGAGAAUGUAGAUGUUAGUAUGAGGACAAGAUACAAAUUCAAAAUUUUGAUAUUGUUGGAUACAAUAAUGAAAGCAACAAAAACCUUAUUUUCCACAAUUAAUGAAUUAUAAAAAAGAACAAAGCAAAAUGAAUACUUUUCUCCAAAUAAAACUACUAUAUAUAUAUAUAUAUAUAUAUAUAUAUAUAAAGAAAAAAUAUACAUUUGUGUACAAAAUUGAAGUAAUAAUGAAGUAACUGAAUUCUUGUAUGCUAAAGUGCAACAAUAAAUAAAUAAAUAAAAUAAUCUAGAUCAUCAACUUUAAUUUUCAUCAUUGACUCUCUAUUUUCUCUGUGUAGAAAAAAAUUUGAAAUACUGUAAAAGUCUUCAUCAUUUAUACUAGCUCCAAAUGUAGACAAAAACUUGAUUGUGGAAUAAUUUUCAUGAAAUGGUAUUCAUUAAAUAUAAGCACCAAACGUGGAUGAAAUUUUUACAAAAACACAUAUGGAUGUUUUUUUUGCCUCACAAACUCAAAUAUUAUUUGAUGUGUUUAUGAAUGUAUCAUUACAAUAUUACAUGAAAAUGUGGGAUAUUAUCAAAUGAGAUUUGUAGAUACAAAUUUAAUUAUGAGAUUGCAAAUACAAAGCAAGCACAAACUCCUUUUGUUGAGAAUUGGUUGAAAAGUGGAUUGGAUGAAUCGACGCAUGUGGGAUAAAUAAGGUGAUUAGCAAAAGCAUGAUUUGGACAUUGCUACAUGUAAGGAGCCAAUGGAAAAAAAUCAAGUGAAUAGGGCGUGCAUUUGCAUAUGUACUAGAAGUUAUUUAUAUGUUUGUUUCACGUGUGGGUGUGAGAGAGAUACCAAUUGAAACCAACAAUCCAUCACAAUAUGUGUAGGGACAAGCACCAAAAUUAACAACGCCAAGAUAUACACAUAAACACACGAAGUCCACGUCGAUCAGUAGUAGAAUAAUAUUUUGUACUAGUACUUGAAACUGUUUCGAGGUGUCAAAAUCAGAGUGGCGCAGCGGAAGCGUGGUGGGCCCAUAACCCACAGGUCCGAGGAUCGAAACCUCGCUCUGAUAGUGCAGAGAACAUUGCUUCCGUGAUGUUUUUAUGGAUGCUCUCCACAAGUUUUCGAGACGGACCUUUGACAGCAACUGUCGGUAUUACCAUGAAAGAGACUUAUGAUUUUGCCAAAGAGAGGGACCUGUGAUUGAAAUCUUUGGGGUAAAUGUUUUUCAUCACAAGGGAUCUCGGUAUUAUCCUGUACAGUUCAAGAACGACUUCCGAGAAUUCUUAACCGGCAUAUAAAUAUUAAAUUUGAGGCACGGCUGUGAUUGGAAAAUUGAGAAAUGGGCCACGCAGAAAUGAAUCUGAGCAGCAUGAUCUAAAAGAAUGAGGCCGUGCUUCUAUUCGCAGAUAUGACAGCUGGAUGGAAAAAUUGCAGAAAAUCACAUUCAUCGAUUGAGAGGCCACACCGGCUUCAUUCACACGAUCGUCAAGAAUAUUAUCCAAGGGCCGUCCCAGCACUGCGCAGAUUCAGGUGAGACUAAAAAAUAUCAUAAAAUCAAAUUCAGCGCAGACUCUAGCAAAGAACUUAAAAUCGAACAGAAGCAAGCAGCGCAACCGACACCAAUCGUAUAAUCCGUCACAAGUGCUCCUGUACCCAGCACAGAAUGAUGAAAUAGAUUGCCAGAAAAAUGUGUGCCAUUGACACCACAGGUAAUUUAGUGCAGAGGACAAAUGAAACCAUGCAAACAAUGGACCACAACGAAAGAGUUGUUGAAACUAAAAGCGCCAUAGGCUUUGGGGCGUGCAGUGGUGGAGGGGAUGUAAAGGGAGGGAGGGUACGCAGCGGACAUCUGGGCGGGGUAGCGUCCGCUUGUAACCCAAUCGCGGGGGAAGGAGGGUGAGGAUGUGGGGCGCCGGGUAAGGGCCUGCGGAGGCGUGUGGAGGGCCUGCCCACUCCAAGCACGGAGUCGCUAGUGGGAUCUCGCCGGAGGGUGGGGUUGCGCGGGCGAUAGUGAGGGGGGCACCGCGUCAGGCGGGCAACCGAGCAGCGUUCACUCCCCGCUCUGUGUAGUGGAGGGAUAACGGGUCUGAAUGUUCUGCGCAGAUCACCCUGUCCGGCAUGCAUCCACAUACCAUCUUCCGUUUUGUCACCCUUUCAUCCUGAUUAUGUUUGACAAGUGGACAAGAAUAAUAAUUCCUUUUUCUUUUCUUUUUAAGUUUCAUAUUAUUUUGCGGACUAUCCACCUAUAAACUAUCAUUUUUUUUUUCUUCCAACAUUAAUGCUUUCUUUCAAAAAGAGAGUGGAUUGCUCUCAUCUUUGAAAAAUAAUUCAUUUGAUACACAAGCUUGCAAAUUAUCCUUCUCUUAUUUAACUUCUAGAUAUAUUAAAUUAAUUUAUUAUAUAAAUAAAAUAAAUAGUUAUGAAUGCUAAACUUUGUGGAAGUGAGAAUAUAUUUGCAACUAUUACAAAUUUUUAUAGACUUGUCAACAUUCUUUGGAUGAAAAUUUCACAUAUUAUCAACCUUAAUUAUAGAAGUACUAUUUCUACACCUAUGGAAGAAGUUAACAAUAAAGUCCAAUGUCUACACUAUGAAUUUGUGUAGUUUAGAGAAACAUAAAUGUUAAUGUGUCUUCUAAUAGAACUAUUCCAAAAGGCAAGUCAGAUGCCAAUGCACCACAAUCAAAUAAGGUUUUUCUUGACAUACUCAUAGCAGUUGCUACAAAUGUGAUUGAAAUGAAUUCUUUCCUUCCAUCACUAGUAGGCCAUCUUGGUCAAAUCCAUACUUCUUCAGUCCAAUUAUUUGGACCAAAACCAAAUAGAUAAUGGGCUUGUUGAUCCACUAAAAUAUUAUAGUUGGUGACAUUAGUCACUGCAUACUUUAGAAACAAGUGUGAAUAAAGUGGACUAGAUCCAAUGCAAAAUAUUAAUUGCAAAGGUUGCUUGGUAUAGCCGGUAGCUUGCUCCAUGCUCCCUACUAAAGUGACAAUGGUAAAAGGACAAGGUUCCAAGUCUAUGGGAGUGAGACCUUGCUUUGUAUGGUAGAGGGAUAACAGGCUUGAAUGUUCUAUGCAAAUCACCCUACCUGGCAUGCAUCCACAUACCAUCUUUUCUUUUGACACAAAUAAAGUGAAGAUUGUCAAAGAGAAAUAAAGUAAUGCAACAAUUGGCUACAAAUUCUAAUAAAUUUUUUUUAAAAAAAAAAUAUAUAUAUAUAUAUAUAUAUAUAACUAAAAAAUUAUUUGAAGUACAUUAGAAGAAAGAAGAAUUGAAACCAACUAAAUAUUUGAUUAGCAAGUAACUUCCAAUUGGCUACUUUUAGUGAUGUGUUGAUUUUUUAAAACGUUCUUAAAGAAAUAAAAGCUUUAGAUGUAGAAGUAGAUGUUCAUGUCAAAAUAUUCCUUUAAUCUCAUCAUGUAAUUAUUAUCUUUUUUCUAAACUUAAAAUAUUCUCUUUAUGAUUAUCAUAAUUAAAUAGUAUAAGUAGGAAUAAAAAACUAAUGGUCGCUUAAAUAAAUAACUAUAUAUUCAGAGCAUGUGCUUUUAUUCUAAAAAUAAUUUAAAAUCAUAGAAUUAGGUACAUUUUGCUUUUAUGUAUGUUUUAUUUGUGAAAUUUAAAAUUUGAUCUUGAAUAAUGUGGUAAUUAAAUAUUCUUACAACCAAAUGUUUUAGUCUAAAAAAUUAAAAUUUGAAAAAAGACAAAAUAAUAGUUUGUGAGAAUAGAAACUUAAAAAUAAAAAUCAAUGUUUAAAAAAUAAUGAAAAAAAUUUAAUACGAAGAAAUUUUGCUACAAAUAAUUUUUAUUUACAUGUAGGCAUGUUUGGUGAAAUCUAUUCAUAUACUUAAGAAAAUGGUAAGUAAUUUCUUAUUGGCUAGUACAUCAAAAUUGAUAAGCUCUAAACUAAUCCAUAGCAUAUGUUGCAAAGUAAAUAAGAAAUGUAGUCUUGAUUUAAUUUACUUAGAAGAAGCUCUAAAAACUUUGUUAUUAAAUUAAACAAUCAAAAAAAAUUAAUAUAAAAAAUAAUAUUUUAUAUUUUUUUAUCACACAAAACAUAACUAAAGUUUCAAUAAAAAGCUAUUAUAGCUAGUAGUUUAAUUUAUCUUUGAUUUGUGCCUCAAAUCUUUUUUUAAAUUUAAAAACUAGAAAAAGAAUUAAAAAGGCCUAGGCUAAAAUGAUAAUUUAUUAAAAGUUAGAAUUGCCGAAUUAAUUUUAAAAUAUGAAAACUAAUCAUGGUAAAAGAAUUUAGUUUGAACCAUUUUACAUCUAGACAUCUUAACAUCUAGUUUUAAAGUGUAGCUGAAAUACUAUAAAUAUAAAAUGCAAAGAACUAAGGAUUUUUUUAGAUUCCAUACACAAUACAAUUUUACAACAAUGGAAGCUAAAAUAGAAUAAAGUCUUUAAAUAAAAAAUUAUUAAUCAUGAUAAUAUAUCAUAUUCACUUAUUCAAAACUCUUACUAUUCUCUCAUCCAAACAUAUAGCACCUUGGUAAAAAAACUCUUUGCAUUUGCUUGCUAAAGUACACAUCUUGAAUUCAUAACAAGAAGUCUUUAUAAGACCCUUAGACUAUGCUGCACAAUUUUGUGAGCUGCAUGCCGUUCAUUUUGCAAACUCUUCUAAAGUGCACAAAAAUUGUUUUGUCAUUGCAGCAAAGAAACUAAGUUUGUUUUACUAAAACAAUACCCCAAAUUAGAAUUAUAAUUGGUGGCUAAACUCUUCUAUCAAUAGUAUGUAGUAUUCUACAUUGUUGUAUUAAUGGACAACAACAUUAGACUGCAGUACUAAUAUAGGUGAAAAAAUAUUAAAAUCUAUUUUAAACACUAAAUUAAUAUGUUAUGUACUAACAUAGAAAUAUGUGUAAAAAAGAAAGAUCAAUUAUUGCAAGUUAUAUUCUAAAUAUAAAAUACCAUCUAAGAAAUUUUAAGAAAAUAAAUAAUUUUAUAUAUCUAGAUCAUUAAAAAUAUUAAUAUAUAGAAUCAAUGCCUAAUCAUAUGAUUUUUAUAUGAACAAAAACUUAACAAAAUUUUCAUCACAUAGUUGGAUUAACUUUAUGAAGAAAAAGAAUAAAGAAUCAAUUAGAAUAAUUAAUAAAUUUAAAAUGGUUAAUACUAUUUACUUAUGAAAUCAUAAAAAAUAAUAAGCUCAAAACAUUCUAUAGUCUAAGGGCUAAUCUAUAGUUCAAUUCUGAAAAAAUCCAUGUUUAAAUAACUAAAAUAUAAUGGAAAAGCAUGAAUUAAUGCUUAAUAAGAGCAAAUCAAUUAUGAUAUUUUGUAUUGCUCAUUAUGUACUUUUUCCUAAGAUUAAAAAAAUUGUUACAUGUUGUAGGAAUACAUGCAUGCAUGUAAAGCAUAAAAUUAGAUUAUAUUGUUUAUUUUAUUAUAUAUAUAUAUAUAUAUAUAUAUAUAUAUAAUAACUGCUUAAAAGGAUUAAAUCUUAGAAGACUCUUUUAUGGAAACAAGUGAGUUUUUUCUACUAAAUGUCAAUUAAGAUCUAAACUUUUUAAAUAGUUCUGAAAUUUAAUCUAUAGAGAUAUGCUUAAAGAUUAGAUGGGUACAAAAAACAUCGUAUUUAUUGAAGAAGAGAUAUUCAAUAGCCUUCAAUUAAUUUGAGACAAGAUCUCUAAAAUAGAUGUAUUAUAUACAUUGUUAACAAUAAAGAUGACAUUAUCUUUUCUAUAUAUAUAUAUAUAUAAAAUGCAUAUACGACACAACUUCUUACAUGUAGUUCUUUAAAGGAGGUGAUACAAAACCAGUCAUGUAUUAUCAACUUUUACAAUAUACAUAUGUUGAAAGUCUACAAUUGACUAAAAUUUUAAAACAAACAUAUUCACCAUCUUAUUAUGUGUUUUCUUAACCUCUAUUUAUGUAAUUAUAGAGUUCAUUAAAAAAAAAAAAGUUAUAAUAAUAAAAAUUUCAAUGUUAUAUUCCAAAUUGUGAGUUUGAUAAUACAGUUUAUAUUAUUGAUACAAACAUCCAAACAUGACGAGCCUUACAUUCAUUCAAGAAUUUAGUAUUAUUUUCUUUCAAAAAACUAAUUUCCAACCACUACAUCUAUGUAUUAAAUAAUAAGUUUGAUUUCAUCAAAAAAUUGUCAAUAUUGAUCAAUCAACAAAACAUGUAUAUGAAAGCACAUAACAAAAAAAAUUUGUAUUUCAUUUGGAUGUGAUUUGAAUAAAUUUACAGAUAGCAAUCAAUAAUAUAAAAUAUAUUGUACUUUAAAAAUUAAAAAAUAUUAAAACAAUUGAUUAUUAAUACAUUAUUGUUAAUAAAGAUGUGAUGAUAGAUGCUCCAUCAUGCAUUAUGUAUUUAUAAAAAGAUAUAUAUCAUCAAAUCAAUUAAAACUUUUGUAAGUAAAUUUAGAAUUUUUACUACAAUAAAUUACAAAAAAUCAUAAUUUUUUUCUUUUCUUAUUGUAAGCUAAAAUAAACCUCCACAAAUUGAAAGUUUAUUCUAGUUCACAACAAGUAAAUUAAAUAUGGUAAUCUUAGGACUUUUAGUUUUUAUGUAAAUCUGAAUCAAAUCACUCUUAAACUCUUAAAAUCACUCAAGUGUGAGGUAAAAUAAACCUCCAUUCAUUGGAAGUUUAUCCAAACCUACAACAAGUGAAUUUACUAUGUAAAUGUGAUAAGUUGUAGCUUUUAUUUAAUCUAAUUUAAUUCACUUUUUAACACUCCUUAAAUCACACAAAUAAUCAAGCAAAAUCUCUACUACUAACUCACACUUAUAAUAAUAAGGCACUCCAACAUUCUAUAUAAUUUAAAAAUUAUUAAUAUUAGUAUUUUUAUUUUUAUUUUUUUAAUUUUUUACUUUAAAAAAAAAUCAUUUUUAUUUUAUUUUAUUUUAUUUUAUUUUAAUUUUGAAUUCACAUUCAUCCAUCAAUAAGAAUUUAUCUUUAAAUAAUAAUUCAUCCAUCAAUAAGAAUUUAUCUUUGAAUAAUAAUUCAUCCAAGUAUAAAAAUUUAUCUAUACAAUUUUCAUCCAUUUUUUAUUUUAUUUUUAUUCAACUUCAAUUAUUCAUCCAAACUAGCCUAAUUCAAUCUUAAUCCUAUUUCAUCCAAAUCUACCUAAUUAGCUAGUGUGAACACAUUUGCUAGAAAUCUCAUCAAGUUGGAAGAUUUGGUGUUGCCUUGUUGCGAGUUGAACUUAGAUCCAAUCCUACUACCAAGAUGAUCAGACUUUACACCUCCAUGUUGUAAGGCACUUCAAAGAAAGGAAUGCAAAUGAUGUGGAUUAUCGCCUCGAUGUUGUAAUAGAUCAAGGACACAAUUGAACAUACAACUUAGACUGUGGAGGUUUGCCACCACUUAAUGUAAGAAUCAAGGCUAAGCAAUAAUUUUUUUAAUUUUUAAUUUUUUACGGAAUGCUUAUGUGCUUGUAGUGUUGGCUAGAUUCUAUUUUAUCUAUACCAUCUUCCAAUAUUAAUCGCCACUCACUAUUAUUUACAACAAGUCUUAUUGACUCUAGCUCUAAUGUGCAUGUAUUAGCUCAAUUGUUGAAGUCAACAUAGAGGUUGUUUUGUAGUUCAAAACUACAAUAUCAAGAACAUACUAUAAGCUAAGAUGGUAUUUAGUUUAUACUUAGCUCCCUUGAUUCAACUCAUAAAUUUGAAAGAAGUAAGCUUCUUAAUCUUAGCCUUGAUUUACCUAGGAGAUUACUUAGGAGUUCUUGAGUUCACAGAGGCAGCGUCUCAUACUUUUUAGUUAUUAUAUGCCUUACCGCUUGUCUUUAUUUAGCGCUUAGCCAUGUAGCACUAUUGAAGAAUAAGCAUUGACAUCUUCUUUGUUGUAAUGCUUCAACCUUCAAUACUAUCUCAUUGCAAUUAUUCACAAGGCUAUAACAAAACUAAGGAUACUAGGGUAAUACCAAGUUCAUCAAAGAAUGUGUGUCCAACCACCGUAGUCUUUACUAUUGAUCUUGGUAGUAUUGAUUGAUCAAAAAGGAAGGUCUAGCCUUGAAUUGGCCUUAAUACCAAGUUAAAUCUUUGGUAUUUGGCAUUGAUUUUUUUACACAAAGCGACACAUUGCCACCGAACCACAAAAAAAACAACAGAGGUGCAAGAACCUUAGUCACUAAUUGUAUGGAAGAAUACGUCAAAUCACCGUAAUGUAGCCCAAUAUCUAAGUUGUGAACCAUUGUUGAUGCAAGUUUUAGCCUUUACCAACUACCACUAAUACUAAUGCUUUGGAGUUUGGUGUGGUGUUUCUUUUACAACUAUAGAUGCAAAAUCUUGUUAGUUUCAUUGAAAAUAGUGGCAAUAUUUUUGUUAUUUUUGUGAUCAAUGUGGAGAUCAAAAUCAAUACGUAACUAUGGUGGUACUGUAGAGGAGUUCAAAGUAGCUAUUUUUAUUUUCCUCAACUUGUUGUGUGAGUUGUUAGUUUGAAGAUGAUUGCAAGAAUAUAGUCGAGCGGUGGAACACCAAUGGCUUGCGAUCAAUUGUGGUACAAUUUUUUCUUUUUUUUAAAGAGUACAACGGCAUUGUUCCAUGAUAUCUCUUCAUUUUGUUGCAUCUAGCUGUUAACUUGCUAGCAAUUAGGUAUAUUGAGAGAGUGGAAUUUACUCUUUAUCACAUUGUAGGAUAGAAGGACGUGAUAAUUGUAGUAGAUGUUAACAUGAGGGUUUUUUUUGUUGUGAAGAUCUUAACAUCCUAAACUACAUUAGUUGAAAGUAGAACUAGUUGCAAUUAAUGAUUAGAUAAACAACAAUGAUAACCUACAACCAUCUCGAUGCAUCAUCGAUGUGAUUCUAAAGUUUGGUCUCAUUUUGUUGCUUAAUUAAAAUAUCAACAACAAUAAAAUUAAAAUUCUUGGACCUUCUUUUAAUUUUAGAUAAUAUUAAAAGAAAAUAUUUUAUCUUAAAAGUCCAUCUUGAGAAAUUCUAACAUAGAUUGCAUAUCUACUACUAGUAGUAUAUUUUUCUUAUUUACUUAACAAAUUUACUAUUAACUCACAAUACAUGUGAUUUUAAGUACAAUAAGUGUAUUUUUUGUACUAAAUAUACAAUUGAGUCAAUUUGGUGACUCUUACUUGUCUAUCAUUAAGUAAAUUUAUACUUGUUGAAAUUAAAUCACUAAUAUGCAAAAUUGUUUUACAUGUGUUUUAGUAUAAAAGUAUUUUAUAAUGUGAAAUCUUAAAAUUACUCAUAAUCUACUUACUUUUGGAUAUAUGAUCAUAAAAGUGUCUAAAAUAGAUAUAAAUAAUCAAUUUAUUUGUAAAAAUUAAAAUACAAAGGCUUAUUAAUGGCUAGUUUAUUUAUUUAUUUAUUUAUUUUUCUCUGGUGGACACUAAGAAUCAAUUAGUGUAUGUUUUUUCUAUUGAUAUAAAGCAAGAAAUAAAGAAAGAAAUAGAAAAAUUAAAAUAUAUUAAAAAUAAGUAUUGAAUCUUCCUCGAUUGCUUUGUAUAUCUUUAUUAGAAAAAAGUUUUAAAAUAAUUCAUUGCAUUGCAAGAGUGAUGUUUCAAUCCUCAAACUUGUAAGUCAUAGGCCUACCACACUUUUGCUAUGUAAUUUUAAUAUUGAUACUUUAAUAAAAUUUGGAGUCUAUCUAUUGAAAAACAUUCUAUUGUUAAUAAAUAUAAGUUUUGAGUAUAUAUACCUCUCCAUAUAUAUAUAUAUAUAUAUAUAUAUAUAUAUAUAUAUAAAAUUAAAUAUAUAUAUUUAUAUAUAGAUGUAUUUACGUAUAUGAAGUUCUUAAAAAUUGAUGAUUUUUAUAUAUUAUAAUAAACUAUUGUGUUCAAAAUAUACUUUUCUUGCAUACAUAUAUAGAACAAAUAAAUUAAGGAAUAACCUCUUGUAGAUAUCCAAAUAUUCACCUUCUUCAAUUGAUUUUUAACAUAGGCUCUUUAUAUGUAUUUUAAUUUUAGAAUGUAUAAUUAUUUUUUAUAAUAAUAAAAGUUUUUAUUAAAAUAGAAACUACUAAAUUCAUCAUAAAUUCCAUAUUAAUUAUUUUAAAUAAGAAUAUUUAUUAUAAUUUUUGAAUAAAAUUCAAUAAAAAAAAUAUAAUACUAAUUUUUGACUUAUUAAUUUAAAUAUAUAAUUAUUCUACUUUUAUAAAAAUAAUCUAUUAAUAAUUAUAUGUAAUAUUUCUUUUAUUUAAUUAAGAUAAGACAAUUUUAGCAAGAUAUUUGAUAAGUCUUGUUGUUCUAAGACAAUAUGUAACAUAAAGUACAAAUUUUGACAAACAGAUGCUCCAACAAUCUUAAUAAUAAUUUAAAGCACAUAUUAAUAUAAGAAACUCUAUAUAUUUUUGUGAUUAGUGAAAUAUAUGAAUAUAAUAGAAAUAAAUACUUGCACUAUAUUCCUAUAUCAAAGACAUGAUUUAUAAACAAUAAAAAUCUCAAUACAUACUUAUGUCAUCCAAAAGAAUAGAUAUUUACUCAAAAGUUAUAUAGUAUAAAAACUAAUAUGGCUAUUGCUAAAGAAAAGAAGAUUAGAUACUCUUAAAAUAAGACUAAAAAUAUGAAUAGCAUUGAUAAGACUUUAAAAAGGCUUUACACUUGCCUCCAUAUAUAUUAUCUAACUAGGAGCUACAUGGCAGUGUACUAAAAGACCUCCAAUACACGUUCAACUUGCAAAACAAAUAUCUAACUUGCAAGACAAGUUUCCUACAUGUACGCUGUCUUGUUGUAGUACGAGUAUACCAUGAAAAUAUAAAGAAAGGGGACUUUUAUUAAUAUUCACUUACCUCGAAUAUUGGAAGCAACGACCAAUUCCAGUGCCAAUAUUCAGGGGCCAGUUCAAAGACCCCAUCACAGUCGGUCAGGGCAUACUUACUAGUAACGAAAUGCUCCGUUCGAGUCCAAUAGUCGGAGUCAACAGAAUCGAAAGGACUAAAUCUAUGACUAAGCGAGCCUGACACGAAGGACCAAUUUGACCCAAUUACGGGAACAUCCAAGUCUUACUACGGGCCUCUUAGCCAAUAUGAGACCUAAAUUGGUCGGGCGACUCAAUGUGGUCCUGAUUAUGGGGGUUUCGAUUCUAUUUUAGGCUCUCUUGUUCUCUGUGCUGUUUCAAGGAACGUUGUUUCCAGAAAAAAAAACCUUUUAAAAGGCAAAAAAUGGAGGAGAAAGCUUUGACGGCGGAGCCAAUUUCGGAUCUAAGACGGAAGAUUGAAGAAAUUCAGAGGCUAGGGUUUGAAAGAGGAGAGAAUUAAGGUUAAAGGGGAGGAUAGGUAAAGAAAUGAAAGGGAGAGAAUAAGAGUUUUUAAGGGUCCGAGAGCUAGCUUCAUGCUUCGGGGAGGAUAGAGGGGGGGUGGAGGGGGGGAGAAAACUGAGAAUUGGGGUUUUUUUUUUUCUUCAUAGGGUUUUGAAAGACUGAGGCAAUCGUUGCUAAAAUUCAGUGUUGUACUAGUGAAUCGAGGUUUUAAUGAAGUGGGUGUGAUUACUCUUGACUGUUUUGUGAAAUUGAAGUUACGUCUGUGAUUGAAGAAUUAAAAGGGUGUCUAUAGGAUUGAGUAUGCAGAGUGAAUGAAAAUUUUUCGGUUAAUCUAACAAGACAGUCAGUAGAUACAAAGUCGUGAGUAGAAAGCGAUAUCGGAGAUUAGCAGAUUGGGUUGUUCAGGGUUCUGUGUAGCAUCUAGAGACCUAUCGGCUGGGGCGAAAAGGAUUUUGGCGAGCAGUCAAAGGACAUCCGUAUAGAUUUAUGAUAUAUUCUUGUAAUUGUUUAUAUUCCAACAAUCAAAAACCGAUAGACUGCUUGAAUAUUAGCGAAUCUCCAUACUACCUUCUAUAGCCAAACGCCCGGCGCGUUCUCAAGCAGGAAAGCAUGUAAUACGACAAUGCCACAUGGCUAACUUGUACUACAAAUUGCCAACAUGUGUGAUGCAUAGCCAACAUAUUGGCUCAAUUCUUAACCUAUCAAUCAACUACAAACACGUAAAAUAUUUAAUCCAUGUCUAUGAAGCUUUUAAGAAGCUUCUCUAUAAGAUAUUAUCAAAUUUAUCUCCAUUUUUCUUCUACAUAAUACUUCUUAUCUAAGUAAUUAUAUGUGCCUAUGGUAGCUAAAUAUUUAAUAGCCUAUUAAUACUAAAUAUUUUUAUAAGUUUUUAUUGUAAAUUAUACAAAUCUUAAAAAUUAGAGCAUCAUAUGACAUUUUUAUGUUUUUGUGUCAUGCAAAUGUAAUUAAUUUCCAAACUCUUUGAAGGUCAAAAAAUCCUCCACUCAUUACAUCUAAAUAAUAAAUAUGUCAAACUUGUAAGAAAUUCACUAAAUAUGAGAUAAACAAUACUUUGUGAAUUUGUGGUUAUUAGACGGCUCCAAAGUUUUAAAUCACAUCAUUCACAUAUUGCAUGAUAGCAAGCAUGUGUGUCUUGUCAUUCCAACAUUUAAAAAUAUUUCUAAUUCUACUACAUAGUUAUAGUAGCAAUAGAUAAAUAGUAGAUAAUGUGGUUAUCACUUCCAAGGUUGAAUUUGAGAUCAUGAAUAUUAAUAAAUUGUCAAAAUACCAACCUCAUAAUUGUAUGGUUAGUCUUGAAGGAGGUCAACUAUCUCUUGGACCAAUCUACUACUUGUUACAUUCCAACUUCUAAUAUUUUUUUAUAAUAUACUAACAAAAGUUUUAGGUGGAUACCUCCCUUCUAUUGCUUGGACACCCACAUGUGCGAUGUUUUCCAGCAUACACACAAUAAUAUCAUUGUCAUAUUAUCAUUAUAUAUUUUAUAACCUAUAACCCCUAAAAUGGUCCAAACAGUUCAAACUAGGUGGGGUAUGAAACAUGCAUAUGUACACUUUUAAAGCAAAAAAUAUCAAAAAAGCAUAUUGGUCAAAAGUUAUUUUUUUAAUUGUUGUGUUGUAUUACAUAUUAAAUUAUAUUUGAUUUUUUUUUUAUAGUACAUAUUAUUAAAAUUUAUAGAUUUAGGAAUUAUAGGCCAUAAAAUGUAAAAUAAUCAUACUAAUGCAUGAAUGAAAGGAUAUUCGGCACAUUGGAGGGAGAGGUGUCCACAUAAUAAAAGGAGGUGUCUACCUGGCAAGUCUCUAAACCAACACACCACAAUCUUUAAAACUAAAAAAUAAUUUAAAAAAUAAUAUAAAUAUAUUUUUAAAGUCUAUAAGUAAAGAAAAUUGUAUAAGCAAGUAAUUCUAGCUUGGUGGUGGAUAGUCUAAGGCUGGAAUUUUAAAUUCGUUCAAUAUUGUAAACUUCAUUUUUAUUCAAGAUAGUAUAUUCUUCAUGAGAAUGUAGAUGUUAGUAUGAGGACAAGAUACAAAUUCAAAAUUUUGAUAUUGUUGGAUACAAUAAUGAAAGCAACAAAAACCUUAUUUUCCACAAUUAAUGAAUUAUAAAAAAGAACAAAGCAAAAUGAAUACUUUUCUCCAAAUAAAACUACUAUAUAUAUAUAUAUAUAUAUAUAUAUAUAUAUAUAUAAAGAAAAAAUAUACAUUUGUGUACAAAAUUGAAGUAAUAAUGAAGUAACUGAAUUCUUGUACGCUAAAGUGCAACAAUAAAUAAAUAAAUAAAAUAAUCUAGAUCAUCAACUUUAAUUUUCAUCAUUGACUCUCUAUUUUCUCUGUGUAGAAAAAAAUUUGAAAUACUGUAAAAGUCUUCAUCAUUUAUACUAGCUCCAAAUGUAGACAAAAACUUGAUUGUGGAAUAAUUUUCAUGAAAUGGUAUUCAUUAAAUAUAAGCACCAAACGUGGAUGAAAUUUUUACAAAAACACAUAUGGAUGUUUUUUUUGCCUCACAAACUCAAAUAUUAUUUGAUGUGUUUAUGAAUGUAUCAUUACAAUAUUACAUGAAAAUGUGGGAUAUUAUCAAAUGAGAUUUGUAGAUACAAAUUUAAUUAUGAGAUUGCAAAUACAAAGCAAGCACAAACUCCUUUUGUUGAGAAUUGGUUGAAAAGUGGAUUGGAUGAAUCGACGCAUGUGGGAUAAAUAAGGUGAUUAGCAAAAGCAUGAUUUGGACAUUGCUACAUGUAAGGAGCCAAUGGAAAAAAAUCAAGUGAAUAGGGCGUGCAUUUGCAUAUGUACUAGAAGUUAUUUAUAUGUUUGUUUCACGUGUGGGUGUGAGAGAGAUACCAAUUGAAACCAACAAUCCAUCACAAUAUGUGUAGGGACAAGCACCAAAAUUAACAACGCCAAGAUAUACACAUAAACACACGAAGUCCACGUCGAUCAGUAGUAGAAUAAUAUUUUGUACUAGUACUUGAAACUGUUUCGAGGUGUCAAAAUCAGAGUGGCGCAGCGGAAGCGUGGUGGGCCCAUAACCCACAGGUCCGAGGAUCGAAACCUCGCUCUGAUAGUGCAGAGAACAUUGCUUCCGUGAUGUUUUUAUGGAUGCUCUCCACAAGUUUUCGAGACGGACCUUUGACAGCAACUGUCGGUAUUACCAUGAAAGAGACUUAUGAUUUUGCCAAAGAGAGGGACCUGUGAUUGAAAUCUUUGGGGUAAAUGUUUUUCAUCACAAGGGAUCUCGGUAUUAUCCUGUACAGUUCAAGAACGACUUCCGAGAAUUCUUAACCGGCAUAUAAAUAUUAAAUUUGAGGCACGGCUGUGAUUGGAAAAUUGAGAAAUGGGCCACGCAGAAAUGAAUCUGAGCAGCAUGAUCUAAAAGAAUGAGGCCGUGCUUCUAUUCGCAGAUAUGACAGCUGGAUGGAAAAAUUGCAGAAAAUCACAUUCAUCGAUUGAGAGGCCACACCGGCUUCAUUCACACGAUCGUCAAGAAUAUUAUCCAAGGGCCGUCCCAGCACUGCGCAGAUUCAGGUGAGACUAAAAAAUAUCAUAAAAUCAAAUUCAGCGCAGACUCUAGCAAAGAACUUAAAAUCGAACAGAAGCAAGCAGCGCAACCGACACCAAUCGUAUAAUCCGUCACAAGUGCUCCUGUACCCAGCACAGAAUGAUGAAAUAGAUUGCCAGAAAAAUGUGUGCCAUUGACACCACAGGUAAUUUAGUGCAGAGGACAAAUGAAACCAUGCAAACAAUGGACCACAACGAAAGAGUUGUUGAAACUAAAAGCGCCAUAGGCUUUGGGGCGUGCAGUGGUGGAGGGGAUGUAAAGGGAGGGAGGGUACGCAGCGGACAUCUGGGCGGGGUAGCGUCCGCUUGUAACCCAAUCGCGGGGGAAGGAGGGUGAGGAUGUGGGGCGCCGGGUAAGGGCCUGCGGAGGCGUGUGGAGGGCCUGCCCACUCCAAGCACGGAGUCGCUAGCGGGAUCUCGCCGGAGGGUGGGGUUGCGCGGGCGAUAGUGAGGGGGGCACCGCGUCAGGCGGGCAACCGAGCAGCGUUCACUCCCCGCUCUGUGUAGUGGAGGGAUAACGGGUCUGAAUGUUCUGCGCAGAUCACCCUGUCCGGCAUGCAUCCACAUACCAUCUUCCGUUUUGUCACCCUUUCAUCCUGAUUAUGUUUGACAAGUGGACAAGAAUAAUAAUUCCUUUUUCUUUUCUUUUUAAGUUUCAUAUUAUUUUGCGGACUAUCCACC
rnacentral:lncRNA from 1 species